ensembl:lncRNA
UGUUCACCUAGGCAACAGGGGAGCUGUGCCAGUGAAAGGGGUACUGGAAGAAGAAGAAUGCCUGUUCUUAUCCCAUCUUCACUAAAAGAGAUUUGCUGAAGGAACUAAAAAGAAGAAAGAGCUAGCAUCUACUGCCUGGCCGUUCUUAUGUUUCUGACACCUACCAGUCACUGGCAUUUAGCUCAGGCCGAGCAGGAUCCCUCCGGCUAUGUGCGUGGGCGGCCGAUCUGGUUUUCUCCCAAGGUGACAGCUGCCUGCUUUGCAUUAAGGGCUGCGACUGCCCCCACCUGGUGAGAACAGAGCUUGGAAACUUGCCAUUCCCGGGAUAUUGCUGAAUGCGAGCAUCUCUGCCAAACGUGACAACCGAGCCAUGCCUGCGAAACAAAGGGUCACCCCCUACACAGGAGCACGGUUGCUAAAAGAAGCUCUUUAAAAUAGCUCCUACUCUCUGACUUGAAAUACAAACGUGAUAGAUUUGAUAUUAUUAGAUGAAAUGAAAGACUGUUCUGACACCCUAUUGUUACAGUUUGAAGGCAUUUAAUGCCCCAUUCUUUUAAUCCUGUCAUAAGUUUGCGUGAUUAUUCACAGAACCAGAGCUAGCUAAUAAGUGUUUCUAUGCAAAUCUGCUUAGUCGAUUACACUUAACGAGAUAUUAUUUUGAAAAAAAGAAACCUCAGGGUGUAGUUCGAG